UCACUACAUUAAAUGCAGAGUUAGAUAUUCUGUAUAGAGAAGUUAUGUAGUAGAUAAAAUAUUUCAGGAGCAGAAUUCUAAGGCACAUCAGAAAGCAGAAUGAAGAAGCCUUUGUGUAGACUCGCAUCAGGUCUCCCAUGCUAAGAUUGCAUUGACCUUCACGAGGUGCCUGGAGGAGCAACUGCUGGAGUUGACAGGACCCUGUGUAUGCCAGCGUCUGUGGAGGUUCAGGUAUAUCUCUCCAACAGUAAAUGGCAAGGAUACAACUCUUUGAAAGAUAAUGGCAGGACAAGGGGAAAUGGUUUUAAGUUGAAGGAGGGAAGAUUUAGGUUGGAUGUCAGGGGGAAAUUCUUUACCAAGAGAGUGGUGAGGUGCUGGAACAGGCUGCCCAGAGAGGUCGUGGAUGCCCUGUUCCUGGAGGUGUUCAGGGCCAGGUUGGAUGGGGCCCUGGGCAGCCUGGUCUAGUAUUAAAUGUGGAGGUUGGUGGCCCUGACUGUGGCAGGGGGGUUGGAGCUUCAUGAUCCUUGAGAUCCCUUCCAACCUGGGCCAUUCUGUGAUUCUAUGAUUCCAUGAUAUGAUAGUGCCUUGUGUCUUUAGAAUAACAGGUAAAACCAAAGCUCAUGUGUACCUGUGGUUUCAUCUCUCAAAUUUCAACCUAGGAAAUCAGACUGUAACCACCAGUGAGUCUAUUCUUGAAUCAUGGGUGUUCUAUUUUUUUUGCUAGCAGGCAGCUCACUGCAGAUAUCCAGUCCUUGUGCAUACAAACACAGCAUUUGGUGCUUUUCCAGGGAAGACACCAGCUUGCAGGAAACCACUGAAAUGUGUAUAGCAAUUUUCCUCUCAUUUUUACACUCAGUAAGAAAUCAAAUUCUCUUAUGUGAGUGGAGCAGGCAUCUGCAAUUCGUGAUGCGCUCAGCAUAACAGUGAUGUUAACCACCCCAUCUGGUAAUCUGAGUGAUAACAACAUCGCCUCAGCUCUGAUGUUCCUGCUGGUACUGUAGUUCGUGUCAUUGCCAUUAGCAGCAUGUGCCCACCAUCCUCUUCCUACAGAGCUGGUUGCAGUUUGGGACAUAUCCUUUUAGAGCCUCAUCCCUUGAGGCGUUGUUAUCUGCAUCUCAACCUCUCCAUCCCCAUUGGAGCUGCAUCUUCCUACCAUCUUUUACCACUUCCAAGAAAUCGUCCUGAUGAGGCAUCCAGGAAUGGGAUGUGGUGGCAGGGGCACUGCGAGCUCCCCAAUAGGACUGUUGCCUGCAUUUUACAAGUAGGAGCAGCAUUGUGCAAGGGCAGAUGGCCGAACCUGCAGAACUAGUUUCAGCCAUAAAUGCUCGGAGCACCCUGAAUGUUUGGUGGCUUUUUUUUUUUUUCUUCUUCUUCUUCUUCUUUUUUUUUUUUUUUUUUUUGAAGGCUGAAAUAUAUUUGGGAAGUACUUGUUCAAACUACAGAGCCAGUCAAAUAUUAACAAGUGGAAACUGAGGGAAAAAAAAAAAAAAAAGAAAAAAAAAGAGAUACUUUGAAGGGCUGAAACUUGUGUGGGUUCUUGCUGUAUUUGCCAAACUACAAUCACUGGGGCCACACUUGCGACAGGCUAAAACGCUGCUGUGAAUAGAAAGUACAUCAUAAGGGUUCUCAAAUACGAAAGUGGGGCUGGAACAAAGGGCAGGCACCAGACAGACUUCCCCUGUUACGAUUACCAGCGUGUCACCCUGGUGCCAGCAGUCUGGUGGCGGCAGCGGGCGGCCGCCUCGCGCCGAACGCCACCGGGCAGCUCUGAAACCCUGCACAGCCCCGCUCUGUGUGCAGCCUCGGUGCAGCAGAAAGAGUUUUAUCUCCCCUGUUCGGAGAGUGUUUGCUUUAAAGAUGAUCUACCACAAUUGACCAUUACCGAAUUUCCUAAAUUGAGCCCGAGGCUUGGUUGCUAUUCCGUAAGGUGCUGUUGCAGAGCAGUGUGCAGGAGGUGUGUUAAUCGAUGGGUAGCAUCUCCGAUACAACACCUACAGGUCAGCAGUGCACAUGACCCAUUUGGGUGCUGAUGAGAUUUCUUCACUAAUAGUGCUGCUGGUUCCAGUGCUGCGCGAAUGCUCUUCCUCCGCUUGAAUGGGAGGCAAUACAAAGACGCAUUGUUUCAUGUAUAUUUUGUUGGGAAAAUUACCAAACAUUUAUAUUAGAACAUUUGACAACGGUGUCAACAACAUUUCCCUGGGCUGCUGCUUAAUAUACCUUAAUUAUUAGUUUUCCACAUGGUGGCUCUUUUAAUCUGUUCUUAUUAAACUCUUCCACGUUCCACUAAUAUUGUCGCUGUGUUUCUUUUGAAGGAAACAAGUGUGUGUACCGAAAGAUUAGAUUAUCCUGCCCCUUUCUGGGGGCAGAAAUGUCUUCAAAAUGAAGUACAUCAAAAGUAAAAGUAGGUGACAAAUGUUAAUAUUUGCAAAGUGCUUCUGCUUUGAUCCCGCAUUUCUAUUUUUUUAAGAGUUUGACAAAUGUGUCCUGUGGUUUGGCUUCAAACCUCUUUGCCCAGCGCUUUACUUGACCCACAACCCAUUUGAUCUUCCACUUGUUUUUUCUUCUGUCCAGGAGGCCUCCGGACUCGAUAAAGGACAGUUCUUAUCUCCCACUCGCUGUUGUUCAGAGGCAUCAUUUUUUAUUUUCGGUUGGAUUAGGUUAUUGUGUCUGUUUGCUUAGGCGAUUUCUAAAGAGACAUUCUCAUUGCAGUUAUUCUUUGUGAUGGUCGCCUUCCCGUUCUCAAGCCAGUAACAGCUAGAUCCGAUCAGGACCUGGAUGCGCCCACUGAUUCUGGCACGGGAUGUGAGGCAGCAGGGCUGAUGGCUGGCUGCCACUGGGUUCCAUCACAUAAUUAUCAUGCAUCAUGUCCCUGAUACCAAAGUAGAGAGGCUUUCUAUUAGUUAAUAACCAGAUCCCAUGAGGAGCUCUGGAGAGGAUUUGUCUGGGUACAGGGAUCCUAUUGAUCUUAGUGUUGCCCCAAAACCCAUUCGGCCACUUCUGAUCCUGACCCUGCUAUUGUCCCUCGUGUGCCUGACCUCCUGCGUACCGAUAGCUUUAAAGAGAUGAACAAUCAAGCACAGCCUGAAUUGGAUGAGUGCUCGCCUGUGUGACAGUGUGGGAAGAUUCCCUACAAGUAGAGGUGCCCCUACAGUACGUCAGGUGGUGACAGGGGGUCGCUGCUGCCACACUUCAGGACAGCACUUCUGCCAGGCUCCUGCGUGCUGCGUGUUCAUUUUAGGAUUCUGUAUUCCUUGCAGGUAGUGGGGCUUCAGUGAAUUGCACUCCAACUCUGUCCCUAGGAAAAGGCAUUGCCACAAGUGAGAUUAAUUCCACCAGUGUAGCAAGAGAUAUGUGUGCUUUGAAUAAGGGUGGACGUGAGGAGAAGGGGAGCUUGCUUUUAGGAGCAAUAGUUACAAUGCCUUUCCUAACUGGGGUCAUCAGCCGGGGUGUUAGAACAGUAAAAAUAUCUUUGCUGCUAUAUUUCUUGUCUUAAUGGGAGUGUGACAGCUGUCAGCUCUCUGUCUCAUUCCUCCUCCUGCAGAACACAUGCAGGGAAGGCAUGCAGCAAGGCAUGGAGAUUUUCAUGGGUACGGCUGGGUGUCAGUAAAAAAAAAAAAAGAGAACAACAUGAAAAAUCCUGAGAAUGAGGAAAACGGUGAUGAUGGCACUCAGAGAUCCAGGGAGAGUCUAGCUAGGUAAACACUUCAUCACUGCACUGGCCUCUUCUUUGUUUGUCUAUCACUUUCCUUUCUCUCAUUUUUAAUGCAGAACUAUUUCCUUUUGCUCUUACAAGUAUAGGAAUCCUUCUGCAGGCAGCAUUGUAUCUUCUAACACUUUACACUUAGUCAGGCACUCUACCUUUCACAGGGUGUCAGAAUGCUUUUCUUCUGAGAGAACAAUUUUAUUUUAUGUUUUAAAAAACAGCACCAGGGUAUUGCACCUUUUUACUUUAAGGAAUAUCUGCAGCCAGAUCAGCUCUUGCUUUCCAAUGCUGUUUUCACAGGCAUUUCCUGAAGACGGACUAUCAGACAAAAUGCUGACUUUAGCCUUUUCUUUAUCCUCUGUGUUCAGUAUUAUUUUAUUCCUCUUGUUUGUUUUUGCAGUUUCUUUUUCUGGGUUUUACUGAGAGCAUUCUGCCAGAAGACCAGGAGGUUCAGCACCAGCAGUGUGUCAGCUCAGAAGCUGUGCGUGUCUCUGCUGGAGCCAUCCCUCAGCUUGCUUUAUGAUUUAUGACCAAACUAAGAUAAACAAUUAAUCAUAAUUAAGGAAUGAAUCAGAUAAAGAAAUUUCUCUGCUUGGGGGAUUCUUCUGGUGGCCAAAAUCUGCUGUCGUGUCCCUCACUCCACCUCUCAGCUUGCAGGAGUCCAAGUGGGAAAGCGGAAAUAACUAAUGCUUGGUGCUGUGCUGGCUUCACAGAAUUACAGAAUCACAGAAUGGUUUGGGUUGGAAGGGACCUCAAAGCCCACCCAGUCCCACCCCGUGCUGUGGGCAGGGCUGCCACCCAGCAGCUCAGCUGCCCAGGGCUCCAUCCAACCUGGCCUUGAGCACCUCCAGGGAUGGGGCACCACAGCUUCUCUGGGCAGCUAUGCCAGCGCCUCACUGCCAUCUGAGUGAAGAAUUUCUUCCUAACACCUCUUUUGGAUUUCCUCUCUUUAACCUUAAAUCCAUUCCUGCUUUUCCUAUCACUAAUAGACUGUAAAAAGUCGGUUCCCCUCUUGCUUGUAAGCUCCUCUCAAGUGCUGGAAGACUGCAACAAGGUCUCCCUGGAGACCUCUCCAAGCUAGUCUCAGAGUGCCAGAAAUGUCAUUAAUCUACCUCUGAAUAUGUCCCAUUAGUCCUGAAAUAUUCAGCAGCUUCUGAGGCUGGUAGACUGCUGCUUUUCCUCAAUGGUUGUUAGCAAUAGGAUGCAAGAAGGUGUGGUUUCUCCUUAAGCACAGUCUUUCCUAGUGGAAAGAAAAAAAAAAAAAAACACCAAACAAACAUGUAAAAUGGAGAAUGCAAUCUAAUAAAUAUUAGUAUUAAAUGUUUUGUUUUAAGAAAUUUCUCGUCUCCUCUGUAGCCUUCCUACUCUUGUGCCCUCUCUCUUACAUGUGAACACAAAUUUCCCAGCAUUUCCUGAGGUGACUCAGAAAGGAGCAGGUGUAAUGCUCAUGUCCUGGGCACUGGUGGGCUCAGCAGCAAUUGCCUGGUCUGCCUGAAGAUGGAAUAUGUGUGAGGGAAGGGUGUACACAAGCUGGACUUGGGUGCCAAAAAGCAGCCUCUCCAUGGAGCUCUCCUCUUCCUCGGGUGAACCAUCUGCUGCACUGUUUUGUUGUACUCCACACAAAAGGGAAAGGUGUCUCGUAAAAGACAAGAGAUGUUAAACCGCAUCUAAGAGCUAAUUGCCCAGGGUCAAUGAUGGCUAGAGAGACUGAAAAACAGAGAGAAAUUUAACUCUGUUUUAGACUGGACGCUGACAUUAGGAUUAAACAGGUCACCCUACAGAGAUGCCCCAUCCCUGGAGACACCCAAGAUCAGGCUGGACAGGGCUCUGAGCACCUGACUGAGCUGUGGGUAUCCCUGUUCAUUGCAGGGGAGUUGGACUAGACGGCCUUUAGAGGUUCCUCCCAGCUCAAACAGCUCCAUGAUUCUAUGAUUCUAUUUCCCCCAAAAAGAAACAUGGCUUACGUAGAUGUAUCACAUUUACAAAGUUGAGAAUCCAGCCUUCAAAUACUUCACAUUCCUCAUACAGCUCAUGGCUCUAACAGAUUCUAAAGGCUUAAACUGCUCUUGCUCUGCGGGAGUGCUGUGGGAUUAUGAAUGUACAGCAGGUGCAGCUGUGCUGCGGGGAGCAGGAGAAAAGAGUGAAGAAUGCAGAGAGAUGGACCCAGUGCACCUCUGAGGAGUGGUCCUGAGCAUUUAUGCUCUGCACACCUGUGCUGCUGCUCUGAUCACCUCUGAUGUUUUGCCAUCCACUCCAAAUUUUUCAUGUUUUCCUGAUGCAGCCAGAUGGGCAUCCCAAGAGUUCAAAAUCUGCUGUGUCUGCUUUCCUAUAUCUGAUUUCAAUGCUACUUGUGUGGGUAAAUUAUGUAAAUAGAAUUGCAGGUUGACCCCCUUCAUGGGUACAGCCUAACCCUAAUCCCACUAAGGAUUUAGUCUGUGAGAUGCACUUCUGUACCUCUAAUCUGUGCCUCUGCUCCUCUGUUUGUCCUGGUUCAGCCCAAAUAUGACCCUGUUUGAUGGGAGACUGCCCAGCAGUGUGUCUCAAGCAGAGCCUGGCCCAGGAGGGGCAAUGCCAGCCUUGGCUCUGGUGGGACACUCAUGCUUGCUGGCUCUCCUCCAUACCAUGCAACAAGUGGAAAGUCUGCCUUCUGCUUUUACAUUUGUGGAAGUGUGACUGGCUUUUUGUCUUGACUCUAGAAGAGUUGAGAGCCUCCAGGGAGGAUGGAAUAGCAGGAAGAAAAGUACGCACAGCAGCCUGAGGAAUGGAAACUUUUGUAAGUGGGGUAGUUCGGUGUUGUUAUAACACCUGUCAAGAGUAGGAAAUAAUACCUUGACCCUUUCCUGGCACUGCUCAGGCAGGUGCUGAUACAGUGAUGGAUGUUACUUACACAGGGAGAAGGGGGGAGGCAGGAGGAGGGGCUCG
ensembl:lncRNA